rnacentral:rRNA from 1 species
AUGAACGCUGGCGGCGUGCCUAAUACAUGCAAGUCGCGCGAACAGAUAAGGAGCUUGCUCCUUUGACGUUAGCGGCGGACGGGUGAGUAACACGUGGGUAACCUACCUAUAAGACUGGGAUAACUUCGGGAAACCGGAGCUAAUACCGGAUAACAUUUGGAACCGCAUGGUUCUAAAGUGAAAGAUGGUUUUGCUAUCACUUAUAGAUGGACCCGCGCCGUAUUAGCUAGUUGGUAAGGUAACGGCUUACCAAGGCAACGAUACGUAGCCGACCUGAGAGGGUGAUCGGCCACACUGGAACUGAGACACGGUCCAGACUCCUACGGGAGGCAGCAGUAGGGAAUCUUCCGCAAUGGGCGAAAGCCUGACGGAGCAACGCCGCGUGAGUGAUGAAGGGUUUCGGCUCGUAAAACUCUGUUAUUAGGGAAGAACAAACGUGUAAGUAACUGUGCACGUCUUGACGGUACCUAAUCAGAAAGCCACGGCUAACUACGUG